rnacentral:rRNA from 1 species
CCCUUAGAUGUUCUGGGCCGCACGCGCGCUACACUGACGAAUGCAACGAGCUUAUAACCUUGGCCGAAAGGUCUGGGUAAUCUCCAAAUUUCGUCGUGAUGGGGAUAGAUUAUUGCAAUUAUUAAUCUUCAACGAGGAAUGCCUAGUAAGCGCAAGUCAUCAGCUUGCGUUGAUUACGUCCCUGCCCUUUGUACACACCGCCCGUCGCUCCUACCGAUUGAAUGGUCCGGUGAAGCGCUCGGGCCGCGGCCUCUUGACGGUUUUCCGUCGAUUGGCUGUGGGAAGUUCGUUAAACCUUAUCAUUUAGAGGAAGGAGAAGUCGUAACA